AUGAACGCUGGCGGCGUGCCUAAUACAUGCCAGUCGAGCGAACAGAUGAGGAGCUUGCUCCUCUGACGUUAGCGGCGGACGGGUGAGUAACACGUGGAUAACCUACCUAUAAGACUGGGAUAACUUCGGGAAACCGGAGCUAAUACCGGAUAAUAUAUUGAACCGCAUGGUUCAAUAGUGAAAGACGGUUUUGCUGUCACUUAUAGAUGGAUCCGCGCCGCAUUAGCUAGUUGGUAAGGUAACGGCUUACCAAGGCAACGAUGCGUAGCCGACCUGAGAGGGUGAUCGGCCACACUAGAACUGAGACACGGUCCAGACUCCUACGGGAGGCAGCAGUAGGGAAUCUUCCGCAAUGGGCGAAAGCCUGACGGAGCAACGCCGCGUGAGUGAUGAAGGUCUUCGGAUCGUAAAACUCUGUUAUUAGGGAAGAACAAAUGUGUAUGUAACUAUGCACGUCUUGACGGUACCUAAUCAGAAAGCCACGGCUAACUACGUG
rnacentral:rRNA from 1 species